AUUACCUCGACUACUGUAUUAAUAGGUAGCCUAAUUCAAUUUAUACAGUAAAGAUUCAUUUAUUUUUACAGGAAUACAGAGUACACCCAUAAGCGAAUAGUCAAACACAGCCGACAGCAGAGAAGCCGCAGUGGAGGCAGUGAAGCAGGUAAUUUAUACUACGUCAUCUGACUUCCUCUUUUGCUCCUGUCAUGAUUACUAUGGCCGUGAGAGGUCGACACCAACCAGUAAAUUUUCUACCUGCCGUGCCGAGUUCAGUGGGACACCUCCACCAGCCCUACUUCAUUAAGUCCUUGUGAGAAGCAGAAAAUAUGGUUUCCUUUCCCCAUGCCGGUGCUCCAGAACUUUUUCCUGGAAGAAAGGGAGAAUAAGCCUGCCAGCAGCAAGGAAAAUUAAUCUGAAACCUACUGUGCUCAAAGGCGUUUGCAGCUGAGACAUCUUUCCUUUCUCACACUGCCAGUGGCACUUUGGAAACACUCACCAUCUCAGUGCUCCCAUCAGCAUGUGCAUCUGAAUUUGCCACAUUCAGCACAACAACUCCCAAAGCGCACACACACAAACACACAAACACACACACACCAACCAACCGACCCAAAACAGCAAUGCAAUUCUGAGGCCUCAGUAGUAUCCCUUUGCUUUUCUGAUAAUAGAAGAGUCCUUGGCUGAUUUUUCAUUUCCAAUCUCAGAGCUCUGCACUGGAAAUGCCAUGAAAUAGACCCCCAAGCCUGACCCCUGGUGUGAUAUGGAAUAACCUGCAGAGAACAUCAACUGUUGAAUUUGAUGUUCAAUACAACUUUUUACUGAUGCUCUUUCUGAAAAAGGUAGGUAUGUGAAAAUGUGAAUGGUUGAAAAUUGAAAUACUUUGCACAUGCAUGCAUUCACUUACUGUAUGCAAAAAUACACACACACACACACACAGCGCGUGAACACACAAAUGCACAAGGCAGCCCAGUGGGCAGAAGGAUAAUGGAAGAAGACUGUGUAAAUCCCAUAUGUGCUUAAUCCAGACACUUACAAGAGAGUGUGAUUCAUACUCUAUUACACUCGACUAAUACAGCUGAGAGACGCACAGGGCACAAUCAUUUCAGCAGUCAUGAACCAACAAAAUAACACCCAUGAAUCCUCUUUAUGGAGACUUUACUGAAGAGGAUGUGAAAGGUCAGGAAUAAACUCUUUGUACUUAUUAGCCAUUAAAAGAUUGGUGGCUUUGCGCGUGUGUAUAUGUUAGUGUGUGUGCGUUACUGUGCCUGUAAAUGUGUGUGAAGACAAUGAAAGUUUGCAUCCGUUUAAUUGAAGGAAUUUCUCUGCAGGGCUCCCGUAUGUGAACUGUUUAUUAUACAAAGCUCAGAGCCUUUUCUGCAGAUCACAUCAUUCUCAGGCUAUUUUCUCUCAGGAAGUGGGGGGUGAGGUUGAUGGGGUUGUUAAAGUUACUAAAGUAAAAGUAAAAAAAAAUCAAUUUAAUUUCAACAGUUAAUAAAGACAAAAUUUGAGUAACAGUAACUUUAGCUUUUUAGCUUAUUAUUUAGCUUAAAUUAUGUCGCAUUGUUAAAACCAAAUGCAAACUGUACCUAAAUUCACACGUUUGAGUAAACACAUUUUAUCGAGUGACUUCAUCCAUCGCUUCCCUUUCUACGUUGUUUCAAUUCUGUUGAAUUAAACAGGCUUUUACUUAUACAAGGGUUUUAAGGUUCUCUAAUUUAUGUUUUUUUUGUGUAUCCUAUCUAUGUUUUAAUUUGGUGUAUCUCACUUUGUUGUAUUGCAUUGCAUUUUCUUGUGAAGCCCUUUGUCAUUUUUAUCUGUGAAAGGUGCUAUAUAAAUAAACUUUACUUACUUACUUACUCAUUCUGACAUGACCAGUGGGCAUGUUAAAGUACUGAAUUGGUUAGUUGUAGUUAAUUUGUAUUGUAUGUAAGUAUCGUUCGCCUGUCUGAAUCCCUUACUGUGGCUAACCUUCAUCAGUGAUAUUUGCUACAA